GGUUAGCUAGUGUAAUGGUUAUCACAGCGGAUUCUGAUUCCGCUAAUCUGGGUUCGAUUCCCAGGCCGACCU
rnacentral:tRNA from 1 species